rnacentral:ncRNA from 1 species
AAUUGAAUAUUAUUAUCGGGUGCCCAUUUUAUAGAAAUGGGUUAAAAGGGAAAGUGGUGAAAGACCACUGCAGCCCACCGUUACUGUGAUGUUGACGAAACCUUGAAAAAUCACUGAAAUUUUAUUUUGGGAAGAGAAGGGAGUAGGAUGAAGCUCAGCCAGGAAACCUGCCCGGUAAUUGUUGAAUCU